UGCAAAUGAUGUCUUUUCUCACGAUGGUCUUCCAAGUCCGUAUGGGCUUUGACGACAUUGCCUUAUGGCAGUACUGAUGCAUCUGG